GGAAAGGGGGGAGGGGGUUCACCUUCCCUGGACCCAGCGGGAAAUACCGCUUCCCCGCCCCCACCCUCACCCUCACAUACACACCCCUUCUUCGCUCCCUCCAAAUGGUUAUCACAACUGUGUACAAACUGAUACGGUGCUGAGCCGGCAAAGGGACUGGAAAUGAACGUCGCGGGGUUAUCAGCGCGGAUCUGUCAGCAGCGAGGCGCGCGGCUGCGGGUUCGUCCGCCGCAGGAGCAGUGAUAUAUGUCUCCGCUCCCUUUCGCGCACAAAAAGAUUUCUUCCGACAGACGCGACCCCAGAAGGCCGCGGAGAGAGAAUUUUAACUAGGGCAGCAGGAGUUGCUUUGUGAGGAUGGAUUUCACAUUUUUCUCCCAGCUUCGCAGCAGUUGUGAGAGGGUGCGCUGGCCUUGGGACCGCUGGGACAGAGCCUGUUAUCUAGGCCACCCAUGACCGACGAAAGAUCUUCCCUCCCGGCUUCUCCCACGGCCGCUUUAAACCAAAUAAAUUUAGCUAUUAAGGGCCAAGAUGUCUGACAAAAGAUCGAAAGGUGUCUAUCCGUGAUCGCUUAAAGCAGCGAAGGAGAAACUUGUGGCUCUCUGAUCCCGAUAAAGACAUUCCACACGGCGCCGGCCUCCCUCCCCGCGGCCUGGUUGCGUCCUGACGCCUUGAGAUCUCCGCUUCGCUGGCCAGAUCUCCACGGGCCCGGCGAGACCUGAGUCCGUCGCCCUGGGAAUGCGGAGGUCCCCAGGCGGCCGGGCUUGGGGGUGCCAGGCCCCAUGGUCCCGGGAGCCGUGGAAAUUCAGGCCUCACCCGGCUGGGCUCCGAAAACAGACCCCCUGCACUUGGCAGAAAAACUAAACCUUGCUCAUUAGGACCUGAAUUACUAUCCCUUUUGAUUAUUUUCUGAUGCUGAAUACUACUGUAGGCAAUCCACCCCUGCCUUCCCACCCUCACUCCCUGCGGGUUUGCCGAGGGUCCGAGUUACUCCACAUGACUGGGCGUUGGGAGCAGAACUCCCUUUGAACCCCGGUCAGAACCUGGUGGGUGGAACUGGGCAGCUAAAUUAGACUGAGGUUAAUGGGGAGGGUGGGUGUGGAUUCCCAGAGCAAGAGCGCGCAGGUGGGAGGCAGAGGUCCGGCCAUUCAAUCAUCCCCAGGUUGGGUUUGGUUAUGAAGUGUGGUAUUUAUUAUCAUUAUUAAUUACUACUGGCAUCACCACACAAAGCCAAGGGCUGCCAGCUUGGCUGAGGCCCUGCCCCUGCGGGGAUCCCUUCCCUUUCACUAAAAGUGAAGCAGGGAAUAUCCACCUUCCUGAUCCAGGAUUGGGAAGUGGUCUUGGGGAGCCAGGGGCUAUGUUUUGGGAGUUUUUGCACUGAGUCAUUUCUUUUCCUCUUUGGUAGCAUUCCCCUAUACUCUAAAGACACAUGGAAGCCUUUCCUACCACCUUGCAGUAUGUGUGAGUAAGAACCUCAGGGUGGUAGAUCAGAGACUGCACUGACUUCCCUGCCCAGGAGAUUCUCCCCAUAUCUUCUGCCAUCCCCUUGUGCUUUAUGGUGAAGCUGGAGACAGGAGUGUGAAUUCUAAAGGCAAACCAACUUCUUCAGUUUCUGUCACCUCAUUCUGGGCCCCGGAAGUGAAAUCUGCCUCUCUCUUCUCGUUGCCCCGCUCCAAAUAAGGUGAACUCCAAAACCAUCCGUCUUACCUAAUCCUUCCACCACCAGCAGCAGCAGCACCACCACCACCACCCCAGACUCCUGGGAUAGGAAAAAUCAGAGCAUCGGAAGGAAAAGGACCAUUUCUACUCCCCAAAAGGGGAACGAGAUACAGAAAUUUCCAACACACUAGACAGGCCCCAGGCUUUCCUUGGAGUUUGCUGGUAUCACUAGAUGUGCACACAAUGCCAAUUCCAGGGUCAGAGUCCAGAUGCCACUGCCCCAGAGCUGUCUCAGCUCAGAGACCUGUUUAAGUUUUUGGACGUUUGCUAAGUAGGUAAUGCUCAAGUCAAUUAAAGGGGGGAGUGCCCCCAAAUAAAAAAUAACUGUGUUUGCCCCCAGAACUAUUACCUCUGCACUCAGUUAUGUUACAAAUAUGCAGAGAAUCAGGACCAAGAGUUGUGUACCCAUAUGCAGCCCUCCAGUUUCCCGCACUUGCCCCACAGCACUGCAUGUACACUGCACAAAGAAGAACUAGAAGGGUUAGCAACUAGUUUUGAAGUGUUUACAGUCUAGAAGUUUGGCACUUCUGUAGAGCCUCAAAGAUGGAGGAAGAUGCUUGAUCCUUUCUCUGAAAAAGUACCCAACCUCAUGUUCUGUAGGCUUCACAGUGACUGUGUAAAGAAGGGAGUCACUCUGACACAGACUGAGGCAAUUGAGAUAGGUUUCAAACCUGACUCCACCACAUUGUGUAUGACCAGGACAAAUUGCCUAACUUCUCUGUGCCUCAGUUUUCCCAUCUGUAACAUGGGGAUGAUAAAAGUACCUGCCUUACAGGAUAUUGUUAGGGGAUUAAAAGAUUACUAGUAUUUAUACUGUAUUAGACUCCUGUACUACACCAGAUUUCAAUUUGUUGUGUGUCCCAACUGUUCCCCGGAGCUGGUUAAUUUCCUGGGAAGAACUACUUUGAGCACCCUUUCAACUUUAAGUCCUGCCAUUCAUUAAAGGUCUCAGGCAUUCUCUGUGUACCAGCAGUGAGGAUUUUAUUUAUUGCAUUAUAGUAGAAAGGGGUGGGGUGAGACAAACGUAGAUCCUUUACUUGGCUUUUGGUUCCUUUGAAGAAGAAACAUUCCUUGUCGUUCCCCUUUGCAAAUGCCAGCAGCAGACUCUAACAUCCUCUUUCCUGGAAAUUAAUUAGCUCCGGGGAACAGUUGGGUCACACAAGAAAUUGAAAUCUGCUGUAGUACACGCCAGUCUAUUACAAUAUAGAUAGUAAUCUUGACAAAGAUAGUAAUCUUGAGGCUCAUCCCCUGAGGAAAGUAUCCCAGUCCUCAGCAGCACCCCUCCCUGAGAACAACUUUCUGGCAACAGCAGUGAGUUAACAGAUGGGACCAUGAAGGAGAGCAACCUGUGGGCUGGCAUUAGAUAAAAGGGAGGGUGGGGGCUAAUUAAAUGGACCUGGUCAUCUGAUUAUACUUCUAUACUCUUCCCAUGCUUUGUACCUUUCAGUUUGGUAUUGCUGUGUAUGCAGGAAACUUUAACUUUAGUCCCAUUUUGUUAAGAAAUAGAAAAAUAAAGAUCACUUAGAAGUUAUGGAACACA